GCCCGAGCUGAGCAGCCCCGCUCAGGCACUGCUGGGGCUGUUUGGGUUUGGCGCAGGAGGUUCCUGGGCCGGAGCUGCCCCUGCAAUCCCCGAGUGGGUGCUGGGAACUUCUCACAUGCCCUCUGCGCUCUCAGACCGCGCUCUCCCGACCAGACCCACCGUCUCCACAAAAAAUCGCGAGCUGAAGCAGUUUCAGGUUAAAAUAGCUGCAAGGGAGCCUUGCUGUGGGAUUGAACAGAUAAGAAGUGACCUUAGGACUGUGGAGGUGUGGCAUCGACUCCAAGCUUUGUUCCUGGCCGAGUUUAGACUCAGGCAUCAUAUUUACCUGGCUUUUGUUUUAUGGUAUGAGCCUGACACCUGCACCUUCCCCUCCAACAGACCCAACUGAACCCCAGUGUGUCUGUCACAGCUCACGCUGCAGCUCUGGGUUCAUGGAGAGGAGUCCCAGUCCAGUCUGCAGAGAGAUACAUAAAGCUGAGUACACAUGUGGAGUGUUAAGCUGGACCGAAGUAAAGCUCUUGAAACCUGCUAGCUGCUCAAGAAUUUUUUGUUUUAUACCAGUCUCUCUUUGUUAUCUUGCUUGCACUUCUUUCCAGGGUAAGAAAAUAAUGAAGAUCUGCAGCUCUGGUUUGAGGGUUCAGAACUUAAAUAUCUGCUCUGAAGAGAGGACAGAACUCAGUCCAUCAUCACUGUAUGUGCCUUCCCUUUCCUCCUUAGCUGUUACCCAUUUCUUCUGCUGCUGCCAUCACAGAGUCCAUUUGUCAUGUCUCAGCUACGUAUGUUGCAUAUGCCUCAUGUUUGCAUAUAAGCACCUAUAAUUCAGGAUCUUAUGGUUAAUCUGCAAACCUGAUUAACUCUCAGUAAACACUACUGCAGCUGUCUUGUUUUUCAUGUGGGUUCUGAAAACAGGGAAUACAUGGAAGUCUUAUACUACUGAUGCUUUGUAUGUUUCUCAGUGUGUGUGACCUCUAAUCAAAAGCCCUACCAUCCAAUCAUAACCUUUCUGUACUCCCCAUGCUUUUUGAAACAGCCUCUAGUUGUGACACUGUGAUAAAUAGAAGCAAAACAAUGCUAUUAAAAUGCAUGAUGUGUAUUCUGCCAUAUUAGAUAACAUGGCCACGUUCAUUACCCACUAAUGCUGCCAGUUCACAGCUUUGCCAGUGCAGUCUCCUUCCCAUGUCUGAUUUGGACAAUUUAAGAGGAUUUUUGGCUACACUUCACCUUUCUUCCUUUUCACCUUUGUUUUUUACCUUUAUUCAUUUCUCCGAAAAUGGUGGUCUGCAGUAUGGAUUGGAUGUAGCUCAUGUUUCCCAGUUUUCCUAAGCUGUAAUUCACUAAGAAGCCAAGCUGGAAAACAGUUGAGGAGGUUUAUAAACACUGUUUUAGUGGAAAGCAGAUACCCAAGUCCCUUGUUCUCUCUGGGACCUCUGCCACAUUUUUAGAAUCUGUCACACUUCCCUUUGUGCCAUCAGCUUAUCCACAGCUUGUGCUCACAAUCCUUUGCCACUGUGAGAGUUAAUAGUUCUGCUCUCUCGAUGGCUGCACCCUUUCAGGGCUCAGAAAAGUUGACCAGCCUGGUUCUCUGUUUGUCAGUGGAACCCAGGCCUUUCGCCAUUUCAGUUUUGCAGCAUUAGAAUUAUAGCAGUGGGCAGAACACCCGAAUUUACUGCUGGAGCUGCCCCACUGUGAGUGCAGGGCCAGCCGGGGUGAGGUGUCUCCCACAGCGUGCUGCAGCUAUCUGCCAGUUCUGCUGCCUGAGCUCUGUGGGCAUGAGUCAGCUCUGGUCCAGGAGCCAUCUGGCUGAGCAGCGCCGUGCUG
ensembl:lncRNA